UACAGAGGGUGCAAGCGUUGUUCGGAAUUAUUGGGCGUAAAGCGCGUGUAGGCGGCUUUGCAAGUCGGGUGUGAAAGCCCUCGGCUCAACCGAGGAAGUGCGCCCGAAACUGCAGAGCUUGAGUACCGGAGAGGAUGGCGGAAUUCCCCAAGUAGAGGUGAAAUUCGUAGAUAUGGGGAGGAACACCGGUGGCGAAGGCGGCCAUCUGGACGGAUAUUGACGCUGAGACGCGAAAGCGUGGGGAGCAAACAGG
rnacentral:rRNA from 1 species